UGCCCUAGUAACGGCGAGUGAAGCGGCAACAGCUCAAAUUUGAAAGCUAGCCUUCGGGUUCGCAUUGUAAUUUGUAGAGGAUGCUUUGGGUAAAACGCCAGUCUAAGUUCCUUGGAACAGGACGUCAUAGAGGGUGAGAAUCCCGUAUGUGACUGGAAAUGUUAACCUAUGUAAAGCUCCUUCGACGAGUCGAGUUGUUUGGGAAUGCAGCUCUAAAUGGGAGGUAAAUUUCUUCUAAAGCUAAAUAUUGGCGAGAGACCGAUAGCGCACAAGUAGAGUGAUCGAAAGAUGAAAAGCACUUUGGAAAGAGAGUUAAAAAGCACGUGAAAUUGUUGAAAGGGAAGCGCUUGCAAUCAGACUUGUUUAAACUGUUCGGCCGGUCUUCUGACCGGUUUACUCAGUUUGGACAGGCCAGCAUCAGUUUCGGCGGCCGGAUAAAGGCUCUGGGAAUGUGGCCUCCACUUCGGUGGAGGUGUUAUAGCCCAGUGUGUAAUACGGCCAGCCGGGACUGAGGUCCGCGCUUCGGCUAGGAUGCUGGCGUAAUGGUUGUAAGCGACCCGUCUUGAAACACGGACCAAGGAGUCUAACAUCUAUGCGAGUGUUCGGGUGUCAAACCCCUGCGCGUAAUGAAAGUGAACGGAGGUGGGAACCGCAAGGUGCACCAUCGACCGAUCCUGAUGUCUUCGGAUGGAUUUGAGUAAGAGCAUAGCUGUUGGGACCCGAAAGAUGGUGAACUAUGCCUGAAUAGGGUGAAGCCAGAGGAAACUCUGGUGGAGGCUCGCAGCGGUUCUGACGUGCAAAUCGAUCGUCAAAUUUGGGUAUAGGGGCGAAAGACUAA
rnacentral:rRNA from 1 species